rnacentral:misc_RNA from 1 species
GCGGCUUCUGGCUCAGAGUGACGUUACCUUUUACCGAUACACACGACGCGCGACAAUGCCAUCAGACGGAGAGGGCAAGGUGCGGCAGGUCAACAUUGAUGAGAUCGACGCAGUGACAGGCUUCAAGAAAGCCGAACUGUAUGUUUGGAACGCGUACGCUGCCGCGUUCCUCGCCGAGGGCGGUGAGCCGGAGACAGAUGUCGAAGCGUGGAUCGAUGAUUUCUGCCAGAGGUCGGAGGAAAGUGGAGCUGUCUUUGAUCGCAACUUCGUGAAGUCUGUGUGCACGUUAGGAAUAUACGCAGGUCCACGUGAUGAGUUCCAGCAGAGGUCUGGCUGUGGCAAAGCGACGUAUGCGUCGGGUGACACGUAUGAAGGAGAGUUUUUCGAGGGAAAAAAGCACGGGAGGGGUCAGUACAUUUUUGUGAGCAAAGGGCGCAGCGAGGCCGACCGGGUCGUUUCGAAGGAAGUGGAGCUGCUGACAGGUGCGGGCAAGGAUGCCAAGGCGAUGGUAGCAGAAAUUGCUACUAAACUCCAGCUUGGCCGUCACGUCGUAGAGGGCAUCAUGCAGUAUGGACAACGUCCGUGUUACCAUGGUGACUACGUGCGCGGAAAGCGAACUGGCCGCGGAGUCAUGAAAAACAAGGACGGCACCCUCUACCAAGGGGAGUUUCUGGAAAAUAAACGACACGGGCAGGGCGUUUACUACUACCUCAACGGCGACGUGUACUCGGGUAACUGGAAAGCUGGCGCCAAGGAUGGCUAUGGAACUUACCACUUUGCGGAUGGGAGCGAGUACCGUGGGGAGUGGGUCCGCGGUAACUUUGUGCAAGGGCAGUGGAUUCUGCAAGGAGGGUCCUAUUAUGAAGGAAAGUUCGACAAGAAAAACAGACCGCUCGACGAUGCUGCAUCCCUGCACUAUCCCAGCAUCCAAAUGGCGCAGACAGGUGCCUUUAAACGAGGCGUCUGGGCCCCGACGAGCGCGCUGCAGGUUUGCUCCGAAGUUCCCGUGGACGGUAUGGCGUGGACUGAUUGAGAGAACGGUGUUGCUGCUGCCGCACAGGCAAUAAUGUAGAUAGGGUUCUUUUGCACUUGCUUGAUGUUUAUUUCUUUCUCUGGCUGUGUGUGUGGUUGCGUGCUUUUUUUUUCUGUUCUGCGUUCAGCGAUCUCAUUGCGAUGUACGCAUGCACUUGAUGACACAGAAAAAAAAAGACGAUUGGUAAAAGUGGACGAUACUUUAGUGGUAGGACUUGCGUUGAGGCGCCGUGUUCGACAAAGCAAUGCUAUGCCGCGGUGCAUGUGAAGGCAACGGGAAAAGUUGUAGCACUGUUUCCUCUGACAGAUCCCAGCAAGUGCGGCGCGCAACUGAGUGAGUGCAAACUCUUUUCAAGGCACUACUCAACCUUUCACGAUGGUUCUCUUCUUUGGAUUCCGCUGACUCUCUCUCUCGUCUUGGUGCAUGUGAAACUUUGCAUGGCAUGUUGGUGAUUUGCUACCUCGUGCAUGGCAACAG